AGAGAGAGACAUGCGCGCAUAUCAAUAAGCGGAGGAAAAGAAACUAACAAGGAUUCCCUUAGUAACGGCGAGUGAAGCGGGAAGAGCUCAAAUUUGAAAUCUUCAAGGUUCUACCUUGACGAAUUGUAGUUUAUAGAAGUGUUUUCUGUUAGUGGAGUGGCAAAAGUUCUUUGGAAUAGGACAUCAUAGAGGGUGAGAAUCCCGUAUUUGGUCAUUCCUCCUAGCGUUGUGAUACACUUUCAACGAGUCGGAUUGUUUGGGAAUGCAGUCCAAAAUGGGUGGUAAAUUUCAUCUAAAGCUAAAUAUUGGCGAGAGACCGAUAGCGAACAAGUACCGUGAGGGAAAGAUGAAAAGAACUUUGAAAAGAGAGUUAAACAGUACGUGAAAUUGUCAAAAGGGAAGCGUUUGACACCAGUGUUGUUUUUCCGAAAAUCAAUUACGAAUGUUUUAUUUUUGAGGAGUUAUGACUUCAUCGGCUUGCUCCUUUCUUUACGAAACUUUCUUAAUGCACUUUUCGGUUAACAAGUCAACAUCAAUUUCUUUUGUUGUAAAAGGGUAUGAGGAAGGUGGCUUUCUUUUCGGAGAAAGUGUUUAUAGCCUCGUGCCUCUGCAAUCGGAGAGAUUGAGGUCUGCAGCGUAGAUCCUUCGGGGUUAGAUACAGUUUGUGCUAAGUUAUAGCUUUUCAUAGACAACUUGUUGACUAUGUUUAGUCUUGUAGCUUACUCGCUUAUGCUAUUUUACCUACGCUUAGGAUGUUGAUAGUCACAGCGUGUAC
rnacentral:rRNA from 1 species